rnacentral:rRNA from 1 species
AGCGAACGCUGGCGGCAGGCCUAACACAUGCAAGUCGAACGAACCUUUCGGGGUUAGUGGCGGACGGGUGAGUAACACGUGUGAACGUGCCUUUAGGUUCGGAAUAACUCAGGGAAACUUGUGCUAAUACCGAAUGUGCCCUUCGGGGGAAAGAUUUAUCGCCUUUAGAGCGGCCCGCGUCUGAUUAGCUAGUUGGUUGAGGUAAUGGCUCACCAAGGCGACGAUCAGUAGCUGGUCUGAGAGGAUGAUCAGCCACAUUGGGACUGAGACACGGCCCAAACUCCUACGGGAGGCAGCAGUGGGGAAUCUUGCGCAAUGGGCGAAAGCCUGACGCAGCCAUGCCGCGUGAAUGAUGAAGGUCUUAGGAUUGUAAAAUUCUUUCACCGGGGACGAUAAUGACGGUACCCGGAGAAGAAGCCCCGGCUAACUUCGUG